rnacentral:rRNA from 1 species
AACGAACGCUGGCGGCAUGCCUAACACAUGCAAGUCGAACGAAACCUUCGUGUCUAUUUGCGCACGUGUACUUAACACGUGGUGACCUGCCCUUAGGUUCGCAAUAACUCCCCGUAGGAUAUGCUAAUACCAGUGAAUGUCUUCGGGCCAAAGAGUUAUCGCCUUUGGAUGGGCCCUCGUUGGUUUAGCUAGUUGGUAGUGUAAAAGCAUACCAAGGCGACGAUGCAUAGCUGGUAUGAGAGCAUGCUCAUCCACAAUGGGACUGAGACACGGACCAGACCGCGACGGAAGGCAGCAGUAGGGAAUACUAGACACUGGGCGAAAGUGUGAUAAAGCCACGCGGCGUGAGUGAUGCAGGCGGUAGUGUUGUACAGCCCUCUUACACGGGAUGAUAAUGACAGUAACGGGAGAAUAAGCACCGGCUAACUACGUG